UUGAUUCAGAGAUGGAGCCAGAAGUCCAUUGAAUUUAUUUAUAGAUGGUGGAUGUGGCGGAUCAGGUGUGACAGAGCCGCUAAAGGGAAUGAUACGGGGAAGUUUGUUUGCCUUAAAUAGGCUGAAAACAGGCUGGAGCUAAAGCGGGAGCCCCCUGGCUAACCUCAACACCACCCAUGAUCUGGUGUUGAGUGGACAAACAAACAAACCUGGCUUCGUUCAGCAGGAUGGUGGAGUUGUGUAAGACGUACACACCCCAAAAGGGAGGGAGGGAGUGGAAAACUAGUUGCGUAAGUUAAGUGAGAUAACUCCAGGUUGAAGGAGAGCAACAUGGUGAAAGCUUUUGUUAGACAGGGAGAAGAGAGGAUUAUAUCACUUGUGCUGAGCUGUCUGCGUCAAAGGAUCAGGCCAGCGGAUAAUUCCAGUGUGUUCUCGUACUCUCCUUCACCUGCCGGUGUCGUUCUGACGCUGAUUACAGAUGAAAUCCAUCAUUCUGGGCUUCUUUUCUUGCUGGAACAUGAACUAACACGGAGUUAAAGGCAAAGUGGGCGAGGCGUGCUACUGCUCCUCUCCUCACACUUCAUUAACACAUCGCCGUGGCCCACAUCUGACUGCAGACACAACACAGGACAAGCGGGGGGAGAAGCCGGCUCCUCCCGUAUCCACUACGAUGAAUACCGAGCGGCAUCAUUGGAAAUACCGUUUUAUUUGGUAUUCUGUCAGAAAAUGAAAACCUAGAAGAGCAGAGGGGGAUGGUCUGGAACCAGGAUCCAAAAGAAAGGCUCAUCUCUGACUGUCUAUCUGCUUCACUUUGGUGCCGCUCCUUUCAUCUUACGGCCUUUCAAGGCUGAAUUCAUGAUUAGGUGCCUGCUACAUGUUCUGUACUCAUGUUUUUAUUCUCAAAACAUAAAAGAUCUUGAGUG